UAGGGAAUUUUCGGCAAUGGGGGAAACCCUGACCGAGCAACGCCGCGUGAAGGAAGAAGGUUUUCGGAUUGUAAACUUCUGUUAUAAAGGAAGAACGGCGGCUACAGGAAAUGGUAGCCGAGUGACGGUACUUUAUUAGAAAGCCACGGCUAACUACGUGCCAGCAGCCGCGGUAAUACGUAGGUGGCAAGCGUUAUCCGGAAUUAUUGGGCGUAAAGAGGGAGCAGGCGGCAGCAAGGGUCUGUGGUGAAAGCCUGAAGCUUAACUUCAGUAAGCCAUAGAAACCAGGCAGCUAGAGUGCAGGAGAGGAUCGUGGAAUUCCAUGUGUAGCGGUGAAAUGCGUAGAUAUAUGGAGGAACACCAGUGGCGAAGGCGACGAUCUGGCCUGCAACUGACGCUCAGUCCCGAAAGCGUGGGGAGCAAAUA
rnacentral:rRNA from 1 species